rnacentral:rRNA from 1 species
AGGACGAACGCUUGCGACGUGCCUAAGAAAUGCAAGUCGAACGGACAGUAGCAAUACUGUUAGUGGCGAACGGUCGCGUAACACGUGGGCAACCUGCCCUGAAGCGGGGGACAACAACUCGAAAGAGUUGCUAAUACCGCAUGUGAAUCGCUGUGGCAUCACAGAGGAUUCAAAGCCGCAAGGCACUUCAGGAUGGGCCCGCGGCCUAUCAGCUAGUUGGUGAGGUAACGGCCCACCAAGGCUUCGACGGGUAGCUGGUCUGAGAGGACGAUCAGCCGGAUUGGGACUGAGAUACGGCCCAGACUCCUACGGGGGGCAGGCAAUUAGGAAUCUUGCACAAUGGGCGAAAGCCUGAUGCAGCGACGUCGCGUGAAGGAUGAAAUCUUUCGGGAUGUAAACUUCUUUUUCAGUCCAUGAAACAAAUGACAGUAGCUGAAGAAUAAGCCCCGGACUAACUACGUGCCAGCAGCCGCGGU